rnacentral:rRNA from 1 species
UACGUAGGGCGCAAGCGUUGUCCGGAAUUAUUGGGCGUAAAGAGCUCGUAGGCGGUGUGUCACGUCGGCCGUGAAAACCUGCAGCUUAACUGUGGGCGUGCGGUCGGUACGGGCAUCACUGGAGUUCGGCAGGGGAGACUGGAAUUCCUGGUGUAGCGGUGAAAUGCGCAGAUAUCAGGAGGAACACCGGUGGCGAAGGCGGGUCUCUGGGCCGAUACUGACGCUGAGGAGCGAAAGCGUGGGGAGCAAACAGG